rnacentral:rRNA from 1 species
UACAGAGGUCUCAAGCGUUGUUCGGAUUCAUUGGGCGUAAAGGGUGCGUAGGCGGCGCGGUAAGUCGGGUGUGAAAUCUCGGAGCUUAACUCCGAAACUGCAUUCGAUACUGCCGUGCUUGAGGACUGGAGAGGAGACUGGAAUUUACGGUGUAAGCGGUGAAAUGCGUAGAUAUCGUAAGGAAGACCAGUGGCGAAGGCGGGUCUCUGGACAGUUCCUGACGCUGAGGCACGAAGGUCAGGGAGCAAACGGG